rnacentral:rRNA from 1 species
UGGGGAAUCUUGCGCAAUGGGCGAAAGCCUGACGCAGCCAUGCCGCGUGGAUGAUGAAGGUCUUAGGAUUGUAAAAUCCUUUCACCGGUGAAGAUAAUGACUGUAGCCGGAGAAGAAGCCCCGGCUAACUUCGUGCCAGCAGCCGCGGUAAUACGAAGGGGGCUAGCGUUGCUCGGAAUUACUGGGCGUAAAGGGAGCGUAGGCGGACAUUUAAGUCAGGGGUGAAAUCCCAGAGCUCAACUCUGGAACUGCCUUUGAUACUGGGUGUCUUGAGUGUGAGAGAGGUAUGUGGAACUCCGAGUGUAGAGGUGAAAUUCGUAGAUAUUCGGAAGAACACCAGUGGCGAAGGCGACAUACUGGCUCAUUACUGACGCUGAGGCUCGAAAGCGUGGGGAGCAAAC